GAGGUUCCCAGGCUAGGGGUCUAAUCGGAGCUAUAGCUGCCAGGCUAUGCCAGAGCCACAGCAACGCAGGAUCUGAACCACAUCUGCAACCUACACCACAGCUCACAGCAACGCUGGAUUGUUAACCCACUGAGCAAGGCCAGGGAUCGAACCCACAACCUCAUGGUUCCUAGUUGGAUUUGUUAACCACUGCACCAUGACGGGAACUCUAAGAUUUUUCUCUUUGUUUUUAAUUUGGUCAGUUUGAUUAAUAUGUGUCUCGGUGUAUUCCUCCUUGGGUUUAUUUUAUAUGGUACUCCUUAUGCUUCCUGGAUUUGAAUGAGUGGUUCUUUUCCCACGUUGGGGAAGUUUUAGGCCAUUAUCUCUUGGAAUAUUUUUUCUGACCCUUCUCUCUCUCUUCUCCUUCUGGCACCCCUAUAAUACGGAUGUUGGUGCAUUUAACAUUGUCUCAGAGUUCUCUGAGACUCUCUUCAUUUGUUUUCAAUCUUUUUUCUCUUUUCUGUUCUGCGUUUGUAAUUUCUACUAAUCUGUCCACCAUCUUGCUUAUUCAUUCUUUUGCAGCCUGUAUUCUGCUGUUAGCUGCUUCUAGUGAAUAUUUUACUUCAGUUAUUAUAUUUUGCAUCUCUUCUUAAGUUUUAUAUCUUGUAUCUCUUUUCUCAGUGUUUCCUGUAAGUUAUCCAUCUUUGCCUCCAGUUUAUUCCCAAUGUCUUGCAUCAUCUUCAGCAUCAACAGUCUAAAGUCUUUUUCAUGGAGGCUGAGAACUUCUUCAUCACUUAGCUGAUUUUCUGGGGUUUUUCCUUUCUCCCUCAUCACUUAGCUGAUUUUCUGGGGUUUUUCCUUUCUCCCUCAUCUGAGUUAUAGUUCUCUGUCUUUUCACUUUUAUAGGUUUUUGGUGUGGUGACCUUUUUAUAGAUAAUAGAGCUGUAGCCUCUCUUACUUCUGGUGUCUGCCCCCCUUGUGGCUGAAGUCGGUAUGGGGGGCCUGCUGUAGGCUUCCUGAUGGGAGGGGCUGAGGCCCACCCACUGGUAGGUGAAGCUGAUUCCUAUCCCUCUGGUGGGUGGGGCUUAGUCUCUGGAUGGGAUUAGAGGCGGCUAUGUGCCUUCCGGGUCUUUAGGCAGCCUGUUUACUGAGGGGCCAGGCUGUGAUCCCACCUGGAUUGUUGUUUGCCCUGGGGCUUCAAAUCUGGGUGGGGCCAGAUUUUCCCAAAAUGGCCACCUCCAGAGAAAGGCACAUUGAUGAAUAUUCCCGAGAGCUUUGCUUCCAAUGUCCUUCCGUCACAACAAGCCACAUUCACCCCUGUUUUCCCAGGAUGUCCUCUAAGAAUUGCAGUCAGCUUUGACCCAGAUUCCUGUGGAGACCUCACUCUGCCCUGGGACCCAGUGCAUGUGAAAGUCUGUGUGCGCCUUUUAAGAAAGGGGUCUCCAUUUCCCCCAGUCCCGUGGAGCUUCUGCAUGCAAGCCCCACUGGCCUUCAAUGCCAGAUGCUCCAGGAGCUCUUUCUCCCAGUGCCAGAUCCCCGCACAUGGGAGUUAGAUGUGGGGCUCAGAACUCUCACUCCUGUAGGUGAGUCUCUGUGAACCAGUUAGUUUCCAGUCUGUGGGGCUUCCCACCCAGGAGGUAUGGGGUUGUUUAUAUCACGUAAUCGCCCCUCCUACCUCUUGAUGUGGCCUCCUCUUUUUCUUCUGGAGUAGGAUAUCUUUUUUAAGGUUUCUGGUCCAUUUGGUUGAAGAUUGCUCAGCCUUUAGUUGUGAAUUUUGUUGUUUUUAGGAGAGAAGUUGAGCUCCAGUCCUUCUAUUCCACCAUCUUAAUUCCAUCAGUUUUUGCCCCUUCUGAUGAUAUGACCCCACUCAACCAGAGAUGGCAAAAGAACAGAAACCCAGGGCGGGGGUGUUUCACCCUGGAGCCAUGCCCCUAAACCCAGUGAUCUCUGCCUUUAGUCAGGAAGCCCAACAUUGCCUGACUUUGAAACCCCAGUAGCUUCUACCAUCCCACACCGUGCCUGGGUCAAAUUCACCCUUCACAAGGGCAAAGGGGAAAUUACUAAGGAACUGAAAAUCGUCUGUCUUCAAAGGCAAUAUAAUAGAGCUGUCAGCUGGGAGACACAAGGCCUUAUUCCCAGCUCCUACUCCCCUUUCCUGCUUCUUUCCCUGCAGAGAAGGAUCCCAGAAAACUAACCCCUUGGAGUUCAUGCUUAGGUUGGUAGCACAGACAAGACCCUCUGCUGCAGUGUGUGGUCCCCAGCAACCAUGUGGGAGAAGCCGUGUUCCUAAGAUGGGAAGAAAGAAAGCUGAGCUGGGUGCUGAGGCAGUGUGCCCCUGGCCUGGAGUCUCAGCUCUGAUGCUAUCACUGUGGCAACUCCUGUAGGCUGGAUGGAGGAACGGUGAGAACAGGCAGGAGGUGGGAAAACAGCAUCAGAGGGUUCCUGCCUGCUGCCAUGCCCUGCCGCCCCCAUCUGCCCCCCGUCCGGCACAGGGGUUGAUGCUUGGUAAGUGCAUAGAUGAUACUAGCAACAGCAUCAUCAUCAUGCUACUCACAACAAGUAAAUGUACUGAGUACUUAAUUCAGUGCUAAACACGGCAAAAACUCCUAUCAGAAACAGAUAUGUAUAGACCCCAACUCCCAAAGACAGUGGAGCUCCUCUCUUCAUGUGUAAUUCCAAAAAGAAAAUACUAUUAUAUAAAACAAGUAUAAGGGCAGCCAAGAGGAUUCUAGUUCCCCCCCAUUAUGGGUGACGGCUGCAUCACUGCAAAAUUGCCUCUGCCUGGGAGAGAGUUGAGAUUAUGAUCAGGGCUGUGGGAGGUUGUGUUCUGGUUAUGGGGUGUGUGUGUGGAGGGAGGUGCCACUCUGGCUUUUGGACACUGAAGUGCACUUGACAGAUUCCACUGCCCUUCUCUCCCUGUCCUUCCCUCCAUGCCCCCCCCCCUUUAUCCACCCUCCUUCCUGCCACCUUCUGAUACCCCUCAAGGAGGGCUAGUGAUCCUGAUUUUAAGUCAGAUACCUCUGAGUCCCCUUUUGCACCCCUUCCAACUUUAGAAUUUUGUGUUUGGCCUUUGUUAGAUUUGAAUUCUUUGGGUGGCAAAUAAAAAGGAAAUUGUUGAUGACUAUACUUGGCUACGGCCUUAAUGUCUCCCGUAGAAGGAGGAAUUACUGUAAAUCUAUGCUUCAGAAUUCUAAGUUGGUUCUUCCAGGCUCCACAGCAUCAUAUCUGUUCAGGAACAGCUGUUCAGGCCAUAGUAAUGAUCAAAGCUGUGCAUUCCAGAGCUUAGUGCUCUAAUAAUGGCAAACACCUCUUCUCUUUUCUCUCUCUCUCUGUGAAGAACAUAAAUUCUCUGUAGACAUCUAUUUUAGUGAUUCUGACAUCUCAGUCCAGAAGCAAAUAUGCCAGGGCUGUUUUAAAAUUCGACAGGACACACCAGUAAGAAAACCUCUCCCUUUGGAUUUCAGGACUAUUUUUGUUCUGGUUACAGAGAUGGUGCAGAGUCUCAAAGGAUGAGAUUUGUGAGGAGGCCUGAUUUCUAUAUAGAAUGUGUUAUUCAAUUUCAGUUCUAUUGAAAGAAGGAAAAUCCUUUCUCUUUGGUGGGAUUUUCCUUGAAUCUAAAGAAAACUGAUGUAAAGAUGUAUACAUGUGUAUUUUAUCUCUAUCUAUCCAUCUGCCUACAUACCUAUCCGUCCAUCCGUCCAUCCAUCCAUCCAUCUGGCUAACUAGAUAUCCUUCCUUGGCACCCAUGUGAUUAUCGUUGGUUGGGCCUCUUCUUAGUCACUUAAUGAUUUAGGGGACAACAUAACAACCACAAAGAAUAGCUAUCACCUUAUUAAAGACAUCCUUGCCAAACAAAAUAAAGGAAAAUGAUUUUUGGAUGGGUCUGUAAAGUGGUAUGUAUGCUUUCAGUAUAACCUCUUGGUGAUUUCUUAGUCAAUGGGAGGGUCGGGAUGGGGGAUUGUAAUGAAAUUUCUCUUUUUUGUUGGAAAUUUACAAGGGGUAAAGUGAAACAGGACCUGGAGUCUGUGCACCUGUGUUUGAACCCUGACUUUGCAAACUGGUUAAGCUUUCUGAAUCUUCAGCACCUUUAAAGUGAGUGUGCACGUAGUAUCUGUGUCAUGGGGCUGUAGGAGGAGGCAGAGAAGCAUGAUGCCUACACACGUACCUCCUGUUGGGAGUGGAUACCUGUCAAAGUAAGUGCCUGACACGCUGCAGGUGAUCAGCAAUUCCAUCCUCUUCCAGAACCAAACCAUGGUCACUGAAGAGUCAGGAGAGCUGAGUCAAGAGGCCAUUCCACUGCUCCCCAAGGUCCGUUCCUGUGGCCUUUGCCACAGCAACACCAGAGCUGGGUAUACACUGGAUUUUGACACUGCUGUUCAUUUUUAACUUCCUUGAGACAAACUGUACUUUUCCAACUCUGGUCACCACAAUGAAUCACAAUAUGAUACUUUUUUCCAGCCAGCCAACAAUGACACUCAAUUUAACCAGAGGAAGAUCUGAAAUCAGAAUACACAGUGCUGAAACCAUGCCAGAGUACCCAUGGAUAUUGCAGAGAUGACAACCAAAUGUCACCCACAUCUCCAGUAUCCCUAGGGCUUUCUCAGGGGCCCGUCACUGAACUCUGAACAUAAGUUUCGGCUACUGCCAGCCAAAGCUUCUGUGACCUAGUACUCCUGGGAGAUCCUGUGCAGUGGUGGUUCAGCCCAUACUCUCAGAAGCCCCGACAGCUGGGAGAGGCCUCACCCAUGCAUAUGGAAUCGGCAAAUCGGAGCCGCAGCUGCAGGUUUACACCACAGCCAUCCCAACACCGGACCCAAACUGCAGCUUUGCGAUGACUGAACACCCACAUACCAGGCUCAGGCCUCACAGGCAUCAUGAAGGCUACAAAUAAGACCUCUGCUAUGCAGCAUGUGAACUGACAACGCAGGCCAAAACCAACAAGCCACUGACACAUAAGGGUUUACAGAAGCAAUGCACACUUGCCAUGAAAAAUGUUGCAGGAAGUUUGGGCCCUCUUGGUGUCUCCAGCAAAACAAGAGAAGAAAACUCCCCUGCAACAUGAUGGCAAUACGAAAAAGGAGUUCGUACAUAUUGUUUUCAGUGACACAAGAAUCUACAAAACACCUAUAUUAUAGGUCAUUCUUUCCGUUAGACUAUUGUUAGCUUACAGACUGCACAAAAGGACAUGCCAGCAUGAAGAGGUUGAGGAAGGGGGCAGAAUGAACAGAAGAGUGCACUUAUUCGGAGGCCUGAAAAUGAGCACUGCAGUUAUCCUCUAGUUCCAGCGGAAGGAGAUAUGUCGGGGACGGUCACCGCCUUCCUUCACCAGGGGCUUGUGGAAUUCCCUGCCAGCGCGAGAAUGAAUAGCAGCCCAGCAAUAUUCACAGUAAUACUGCAGACAGGUAACAUUAGCACAGAAAAAUGGAGCGAAUUUCCCCCCACAACGGGCCCCCUGACAUUCAUCACACAGCUGAUCAUCCAAGACAUAUGGCUUAACUUCCACCUGCAAUCAAAGAGCAAAGAAAGGAGUUGGCAUUGCUCAGUGAACGGACCUGGCAACUCUGACCGCGGGUGGACGCUUGCAGCCACUGUCUAAAGGAGUCUGUGCCAAGUGCCCAAAAGGAAGGGCCGGUAACGCUGUCACUGAAAUUCAGACAGUUCAUCUUUUAAGCACCUGGGAAGGCUUUUAUACCCAUCCUUUUACAUUUUUGUCUUAUUAAAUAAAUACUUUUCAAAUGAAAGAAAGGUUCCAGCAGAAAUUGAAAAGUGAAGCCAAGUUCAUGUUUGGGAACAUCAGAAGGAGGUUUGACCCACAGGAGAGUUUUCAUGGACACGAACCGCCACUUUAAUCAGUGGAUCCGGGUCGCUGUCAGAUGCAGAAUUAUAAUCUGCACCAGACCAACUAAGAGAGUCCUAGUGCCACAACAGAGCACCUCAAUGUACAAGUCAGAGCGAAGCUGCUUGCAUCACACGCUCUUGAGCUGUAAUAAGGCCCGAGUCAUGGUUUCUAUUCACGGCGAACACAUCUUGGGUUACAGUCAUGAACUUCUAACUCCAGCAAAACAAGAUACAGCCCCAGGACUCAUAAUCCAAAACCUCGCUUUAUUCUUUGUCAGGAAGAAUGGUCUACCUCAGUUGGAGAGUCUCAUAAAAUGAGGUCUGCUCCAGCGUCCGACAGGCCAAGCUGCCAUUUGAGCCUCUCAAGCAUUAAAAAUAAGCUGGCUCUUAAUUCCCCAGUGAGAAGAGGGUCGGGUAUUUUUAGUCUUGGAGCAACUCACAAUUGAAACUCCCUUAAACCAGGCUAUUACUACCACUGGCGCCACCCACCUCUGACAAGAAAUCCUGACAAAGGUUAGCCGUGAGCAAAAGAAAAGUGACAGGGAAGGCAGGAUGAGCAGAAUAAACCAGAGGAUUGAGCUCCUGGCCCUGAGGCCAUUCCAGAACACUCACAGUGACAGGGACACAGGUCAAAGAACUGGAUCACAGAGGAAUACAAAUGAAGUCUGAAUUUCUAAGGGCGAAUCUUACGACUCUGAAACCCAUGUAGCAAUGAAGCAGCGAGGUAGGAGAGACUGUGCACUCAGGAUGUGUGUAUUUUUCAGUGUGAAUAAAAAGGAGCUCCUCCUGCCCCCUUCAUCCGAGCUUACAACAGAAUCCACACCCUUCUCCUUACUAUACCCCCGUAGAGCAUGAUGACCACCAGAAUGGUAAAAUUUCAGCUGCCACCCGAAGUAGAAUAAACAUGAAACGGAAUAGAAGCAGUAAAUGAAGACCACUAUUGACUUGAUAGUUUCUACGUACUGAACCGAGAAAGGCACAAUACAGUCAAACCAAUAAAGACUUUUUUGAGCACAAUGCCUUGGAGUGUUGGAUGUCUACGUUGGCCCUAAGGAAAGCGCUAGUCUGCCAUGAAAUAAGGAGCGGACACCAGAAUGUAAAUCAGUAUAUUGCUUACUUCAUCAAGAAGGUCUUUCUAUGAAAAAAAAUCUCAACGGAACUAAAAUACGAUGCUUACUAAUGUGGUGGAUUCACAUUCUGGUGUAAAUCUGGAUCUCACUGCAAACGAGCAACAAACCGUAUCAACUGGCGGUUGGUUCACAGGCCACCCUUGGAGUAGUACUGCCAGGACAGAUUUCUACCCACCAGAACAUAAAGAGGUCCCCUGAGGACAGGGACCUCUUGUCCUAGGCACUAAAACAUUUGCUGAGUGCAUGAAACACAAAGAUAAGAAAUCUGUGGCAGCAAUAUGGAUGCAACUAGAGAGUCUCACACUAAGUGAAGUCAGUCAGAAAGAGAAAGACAAAUACCACAUGACAUCACUUAUGUGUGGAAUCUGAAAUGUGGCGCACACAAACCUGUCUACGGAACAGAAACAGACUCACAGCACAGACAUGGAGAAUAGGCUUGUGGUCGCCAAGGGGGAGGGAGAGGGAGUUGACAGACAGUGAGUUUGGGGUUAGUGCUGCAAACUUUUAUUUUGAAUGGAUAAGCAAGGAGGUCCUACCGUACAGCACAGGGAACUAGAGCCAAUCUCUUGGAUAGAAGAGGACGGAAGAGAACACGAGAAGAAUGUGUGUAUGUAUGACUGGCUCACUUCGCUGCAUAGCAGAAACUCAUACAACACUGUAAAUCUACUCUACUUUAAUAAAAAGAUUAAAAAAAGAAAAACCAAAAAACUCAUCUGUAAAUGUAAAGAAAGAAGACAAAUAAUGGAACACAGAGUCUCAAAUAUAAUAGCCUGGAAAACAGAAGAAAGAGUUAUCUUUGAGGUUUUAUCCAGCCUUUUGAUUCAGAGCCAACAAAGAGGAAUUUAAAGUAAUGAACCACUCCCUGAUUUCAGGUGGGAAGACAGAUUGCAAAUGAAAAGAUUAUGAUUUCUUUUACUUAAUCUGUUACAAUGAAAUAUUUCUUACACAUGCAGCCCUUGAGGUGAAUUUCUUCAGUCAUUUGUUAUACAGCGCAUAGGAAAACAGGGCUCGCUGAGAUAUUCUCGAUACCCCAGGUUUAAAAAAGAAGGCGAGGAGCUCUCAAGGGCAUUCACAUUUGUAUACUUAUAACACAGUACAAAGGAUUUGGUAAAUACUUAUUGAAUGACCAACUGAACAAACGAA